AGACGUCUACAUUAGAUACCCGCGUAGUCCCAGCCGUAAACUAUGCGCGUUAGGUGUAUCGGUGACCACGAGUUACCGAGGUGCCGAAGGGAAACCGUGAAACGUGCCGCCUGGGAAGUACGGUCGCAAGGCUGAAACUUAAGGAAUUGCGGGGAGCACCACAACAGGUGGAGCCUGCGGUUUAAUUGGACUCAACGCCGGGAAGCUCACCGGAUAGGACAGCAGAAUGAUUGCCGGGCUGAAGACCCUGCAUGACUAGCUG
rnacentral:rRNA from 1 species